rnacentral:rRNA from 1 species
GAUUGAANGGGNCUUAGUGAGGUCUUCGGAUUGGCUUUGGGGAGCCGGCGACGGCACCCUAUCGCUGAGAAGUCGAUCAAACUUGGUCAUUUAGAGGAAGUAAAAGUCGUAACAAGGUUUCCGUAGGUGAACCUGCGGAAGGAUCAUUAUUGAAAUUAUAGGUGAGGGUUGUAGCUGGCCUCUCGGGGCAUGUGCACGCCCGAGCCCUUAAUCCACACACACCUGUGAACCUAUUGUAAGGGCCCUUAAAAAAGGCCUUUACGUCUUAUCAUCAACCCAUCGUAUGUCUCAUAGAAUGUAAAUAUAUGUCCUCGCCUUAAAAAGCGUUGAUAAACUUAUACAACUUUCAACAACGGAUCUCUUGGCUCUCGCAUCGAUGAAGAACGCAGCGAAAUGCGAUAAGUAAUGUGAAUUGCAGAUUUUCAGUGAAUCAUCGAAUCUUUGAACGCACCUUGCGCUCCUUGGUAUUCCGAGGAGCAUGCCUGUUUGAGUGUCAUUAAAUUCUCAACUCCGAUCGAUUUGUUUCGACUUCGGAGCUUGGAUUUGGAGCGUGCUGGCGUCGGUCGGCUCCUCUUAAAUGCAUCAGCGGAAUCUAAUGUUUCGGAUGUCAGUGUGAUAAUCAUGUUGCGCUGUCUGUCUGAUCCGAAAGCCCGCUCACAAUGGUCUUCGGACAACUUCAUAUCAAAUUUGACCUCAAAUCAGGUAGGACUACCCGCUGAACUUAAGCAUAUCAAUAAGCGGAGGAAAAGAAACUAACAAGGAUUCCCCUAGUAACUGCGAGUGAAGCGGGAAAAGCUCAAAUUUAAAAUCUGGCGGUCUUGCGGCCGUCCGAGUUGUAAUCUGGAGAAGCGUUUAUCCGCGUCGGACCGUGUACAAGUCUUCUGGAAGGGAGCGUCGUAGAGGGUGAGAAUCCCGUCUUUGACACGGACAACCGG